rnacentral:rRNA from 1 species
GAUGAACGCUGGCGGCGUGCCUAAUACAUGCAAGUCGAGCGAACAGACGAGGAGCUUGCUCCUCUGACGUUAGCGGCGGACGGGUGAGUAACACGUGGAUAACCUACCUAUAAGACUGGGAUAACUUCGGGAAACCGGAGCUAAUACCGGAUAAUAUAUUGAACCGCAUGGUUCAAUAGUGAAAGACGGUUUUGCUGUCACUGAUAGAUGGAUCCGCGCCGCAUUAGCUAGUUGGUAAGGUAACGGCUUACCAAGGCAACGAUGCGUAGCCGACCUGGGAGAGGGAUCGGCCACACUGGAACUGGGACACGGUCCAGACUCCUACGGGAAGCAGCAGUAGGGAAUCUUCCGCAGUAGGCGAAAGCCUGACGGAGCAACGCCGCGUGAGUGAUGAAGGUCUUCGGAUCGUAAAACUCUGUUAUUAGGGAAGAACAAAUGUGUAAGUAACUAUGGACGUCUUGACGGUACCUAAUCAGAAAGCCACGGCUAACUACGUG